AUUGAACGCUGGCGGCAUGCCUUACACAUGCAAGUCGAACGGCAGCACGGGGGCAAUCCUGGUGGCGAGUGGCGAACGGGUGAGUAAUAUAUCGGAACGUGCCCAGUCGUGGGGAUAACGUAGCGAAAGCUACGCUAAUACCGCAUACGAUCUAUGGAUGAAAGCGGGGGAUCGCAAGACCUCGCGCGAUUGGAGCGGCCGAUAUCAGAUUAGGUAGUUGGUGAGGUAAAGGCUCACCAAGCCGACGAUCUGUAGCUGGUCUGAGAGGACGACCAGCCACACUGGGACUGAGACACGGCCCAGACUCCUACGGGAGGCAGCAGUGGGGAAUUUUUGGACAAUUGGGCGCAAGCCUGAUCCAGCAAUGCCGCGUGCAGGAUGAAGGCCUU
rnacentral:rRNA from 1 species